UACGGAAGGUCCGAGCGUUAUCCGGAUUUACUGGGUGUAAAGGGAGCGCAGACGGAUCUGCAAGUCUGAAGUGAAACCCCACGGCUCAACUGUGGGCUUGCUUUGGAAACUGUGGAUCUGGAGUACUGGAGAGGUAAGCGGAAUUCCUGGUGUAGCGGUGAAAUGCGUAGAUAUCAGGAGGAACACCGGAGGCGAAGGCGGCUUACUGGACAGAUACUGACGUUGAGGCUCGAAGGCGUGGGGAGCAAAC
rnacentral:rRNA from 1 species